GGAUGCGAUCAUACCAACACUAACGCAUUGGAUCCCAUUAGAACUUCGAAGCUAAGCGUGCUUGGGCGAGAGUAGUGUUAGGAUGGGAGACUCCCUGGAAAGUUCUCGUGUUGCAUCCC
rfam:Capsicum annuum cultivar Zunla-1 unplaced genomic scaffold scaffold1688, whole genome shotgun sequence